AAAAUUUUGAAGUGGCGUAGUUGAUAGAAAACACAGGAAUAAAAAUCCUAGAUUCUUCGAUGGCCUUGAGGAGUGAUGGUGUGAUUUCAUCUCCUCUUUGAAGAUCAUUGUCAUCAAUGAAGGUUUUGAUUCCCUUGUCAGUAAGAGCCUUGUAGAGAUUGCCGGUAAAACCGUGGCGAGUGUCAGUGCCCCUAAAACUAAGGAACACUUGGUAAGUGAAUGCAUAUGAAAAUGAAGAGGAAGAGGGAGGUGAUUGCAUAGCCAUGAGAAUUGAGAGAAAUUAGAUGAAAAAAGAGUUUGAGAAUAUGAAUGAGUAAGUUUUUGUGGUCUGUGAUGUGGAGUCUUUAAUAUGAAACUAUUUAAAAGGGAGAACACUUAUGACAAAAAUGGUCUGUGAAACUUCUUGGCCACUUCCUAUAGCCGUGUGGACCAAUCAUUGUACUACCACCUCUUCUUCUUGCUAAUUUCUUCCAUGUCAUUACUGUUCAACUUCUUGCUAAUUGCUUAUUCAGUGUGUGGGAAACUUCCUUCUCACAUCCCUUACUCUCUUUAUUUACUUUGCCCUAUUAAUUUAUGGUUUCACCUUUUAUUUAAAUGUGUCAACUGAAGUUAAAUCAUUUGAUAAAAAGCUAAUCUUUUUGUUUAAAUGAAUAUGAAAGAAGACUAUGGUUGAACUGAACUUAUGUCAAACUAAAAAUAUUAAAAAAUUAUCAACACAAUUCAAACCCCGUCUUUUUUUGUGUUUUCUGGGACAUUAUUCAUUUACAUCCAUCCUUAUGCUUUUCUUGUCAAACAAAUCAGAUGGUUUCAGAUUCGCCAACUCAGGAUUAAGGUCACCGAGACAAAUUAUCAUAGCCUCCAAAAAAAUAUGAACUUCUUAUUUAACAAAAAAAACUAAUAUUUUACCAUAGUACGGGUAGACGAUCUAGUUUCAUAGUAAACCUCAAUAUGUGGUGAAACAACCUUAACAACUUUUGUGCUAAUUUGUAUUUUGUUGUUCAUGCAAAAUACUACUAACACUGUUCUGUUUUAUGUGUCUUUUUUAAAGAAUAAUUUUGUUUCAAUUUAACUGUCAUUUUCAAAGUUCAAUACAACAUUAAAUAUUAUUUUACCAAUAUUAACCUUAGUUAUUUAUUACAGAAAGAUAAAUAUAUGAAAUGAAAUAUUAUAAGACUAUUAUAGUAGAAGUAAAAAUUAU
rnacentral:lncRNA from 1 species